AUUAGAAAAUUUUAGUUGGGAAGCAGAGAGGGGAAGCACAAACGACAUUGGGUUUCAUGGAAAACAAUGAAUCAACCAAAGGGGGUGGGUGGCCUUGGCUUCAAAGAUCUCUUCAACUUAGCCUUAUUAGCUAAGAAAUCAUGGCACUUGCUACAGACUCCAGAUUCUCUAAGUGCCCGCCUGCUAAAGAGUGUUUACUUUCCAGAUACAUCAAUAUUGCAUGCCUCAUUGGGAUCACACGCAAGUCAAAUAUGGAGGUCCAUAAUUGAGGGGAGAUACGUUCUAAAGCAAGGGUUUAUUAAAAGAAUUGGCAACGGUGCAACAACUAAUAUUUGGGAGGACAACUGGCUGCCAGGAGAUGAAAUGAUGAAACCAUACGGAUGCCUCCUCGUGAACCCGCCAUUGCUUGUCUCUGAACUUAUAGAUGCCACCUCCGCCACAUGGAGUGUAUAA
rnacentral:rRNA from 1 species